rnacentral:rRNA from 1 species
UACGGAGGGAGCUAGCGUUGUUCGGAAUUAUUGGGCGUAAAGCGCGCGUAGGCGGCUUUGUAAGUUAGAGGUGAAAGCCCGGGGCUCAACCCCGGAACAGCCUUUAAGACUGCAUCGCUAGAAUCCGGGAGAGGUGAGUGGAAUUCCGAGUGUAGAGGUGAAAUUCGUAGAUAUUCGGAAGAACACCAGUGGCGAAGGCGGCUCACUGGACCGGCAUUGACGCUGAGGUGCGAAAGCGUGGGGAGCAAACAGG